CGAAUUUGAGACAGAGUUGAGGGAAAAAGAGAUGAUGCUCUUGACCUACUUAAUGCAAAUUAUGAAGUGGUCAAAGAUCGGAUGAAUGCCGGCUCAAAAGGCAUUCAAGAAGCUGCAAUUCUGGAUGUCUUAGCGCUGGGUUAUGUGGCUGUUGGACACCUAAAAACUGUUGCUUCUCUGUUGAAUGUGUGCCUUGUAUUAACUCCAUCUUGUGAAGGCAGAGAAAGCUAGAAGAUACAUUCCAAGAGAAUUCAAAUUGGCUGAAGCUUUUGGAAACACUUUGGGUGGCUUCUUUCUAGCUAGCUAUGAGGACAGUCCCGCCGGUGUCUUUGACGAGGCUCAACCAGUGAAUGUUCCAACUAGUUUUAAGCAGAGGGCAAUGCUGGUGGAUGAGAUUUGGCAUGCUGCAGGUGACAAUGCUUCUGAUAUUGAUUGGUAUGCCAAGCGCACUAUCCUGGCAGGAAUAUACUCGACAACCGAGAUUUAUAUGCUGACAGAUACAUCUCCUGCUCCACCAAACAUUGCUGGGAAUCAUUCUGAUAGGGGGAUAUUGAGCUCGGUUAUGUACUUGUUGGGCACAAGGUUGUAAGAAAAAUAUAAAAUACAGAAAAUGAGGGACCCUGACGUGAUCUUGAGACCCCAGACCUGCUAUUAAUUUUUCAUUGC